rnacentral:rRNA from 1 species
AUUGAACGCUGGCGGCAGGCCUAACACAUGCAAGUCGAGCGGAUGAUGGGAGCUUGCUCCUGGAUUCAGCGGCGGACGGGUGAGUAAUGCCUAGGAAUCUGCCUGGUAGUGGGGGACAACGUUUCGAAAGGAACGCUAAUACCGCAUACGUCCUACGGGAGAAAGCAGGGGACCUUCGGGCCUUGCGCUAUCAGAUGAGCCUAGUUCGGAUGAGCUUGUUGGUGAUGUAAUGGCUCACCAAGGCGACGAUCCGUAACUGGUCUGAGAGGAUGAUCAGUCACACUGGAACUGAGACACGGUCCAGACUCCUACGGGAGGCAGCAGUGGGGAAAAUUGGACAAUGGGCGAAAGCCUGAUCCAGCCAUGCCGCGUGUGUGAAGAAGGUCUUCGGAUUGUAAAGCACUUUAAGUUGGGAGGAAGGGUUGUAGAUUAAUACUCUGCAAUCUUGACGUUACCGACAGAAUAAGCACCGGCUAACUCUGUGCCAGCCGCCGCGGUAACAC